rnacentral:misc_RNA from 1 species
GAUGAAGAACGCAGCGAAAUGCGAUAAGUAAUGUGAAUUGCAGAAUUCAGUGAAUCAUCGAAUCUUUGAACGCACCUUGCACCCUUUGGUAUUCUGAAGGGUAUGCUCGUUUGAGUGUCAUUGUACUCUCACACUCCCGAUCUUUGCAUUGGGAGCAGUGGACUUGGGUUUGCUGCUUCACCGUCGCUUACCUCAAAUAGGUUAGUGCAACUCUUGGUUGGACAUAGUACGGCGUGAUAAGUGUUCUUCGCCGGUGCCUCGCAAAGAGGGUGGCCGAUCGGGAUGUUGUGCUCCAAACCGUCUUCGGACAAUCUCUGACGACUUGACCUCAAAUCGAGUAAGACUACCCGCUGAACUUAAGCAUAUCAAUAAGCGGAGGA